GCGGCAAAAAGCGGCCAAACAAUCAGGAAUCACGUGAAACAAAGUGGUCACAGUUUGCUUCAAGCUUUUAAUUAAACCGCGAAUUAAACGAAAGGAACUCGACCAACGUCACGGCAGCUCCAGGUGAGGCCAAUCAGCAGUGACGUCACAACCCAGGGACGCAUUGGAUCCACACGGAGCUGUUAAACUAAAGGACGGCGUCUGAGCGGAGGCUGAAACACUGGCCCCGUUAAUGUUCCAGGUCGGUUUUUUACGCGUUAACGAGGGACCGCGUCAACCGGAUGACCGACUGGUUGCCCGUGGUUACGGCCGCUCGUUAUCCGUCCUCGUCUUCACGUGAUCUGAACAACGGUGCUGCUGCUCAAUUCACGAUGUGUCCUGAAACUGCCCAAUUACCGCUCUGGCGAUUGAAGAAACAACAACAAAGGACACAGCGCGGCAGCGUUCCCACAGUGCUUAGUGAGGCCGCGGUGGCCGGACCCGGACGGGACGGGACAUCUGAAUGGUAAACAGCCGUCCUCCCCUCAGGAUGUGUUAACGAUGUGCAUGUGAACAGGCGACGCAGAAUCUGGCAAAAUACAACAAGUACAAACCAGCAGAAGCAGGACGCUGCUAAUAAGAAAGCGAAGGAACGGCUCCAGGACCGAGGGGAGCUGGAUCAGCGCUGACUAGAACAGGUCCAUUUAGGAGCAGGUCCACUCUUCCCUUUAGAGAUAAAUGAGUUGUCAACCUUUUAACUGGCCGUGUCUUUAACGAAUCCUUUGACAUUUGUUUCAGGUUUUGUCUCAAACUACAGGCGACCAAAUUAAUAACAGGACACAACGAGAAUUUAUUAACAUGCAUGUGUUUAAUUCUGAGCAAAUAUUUCCUGUUUCUGCUUUAUCAGCCUGGAGGAUCGUAGCUGGUUCCUCUUUACAGCACAGCUUCAGCUCAGGAAUGUUGGUCGUCAUUGGUGACGCAAAGGUCGAGACUCAAGCAUCACAAGCCUUCGUCUGAUAAAACUCGGAUCUGUGAUUACGAAGUUGUAUUAAAUGAUGAAUCUCUUG